CCGCAACGCAAGGGAGGUAAGCCGAUGGGUAUCACACAUUCCUUGAAUGUUCUGAUGAUCAGUGCCGCGUUCCUCUUCGUCGCCAGCAUGAUUUUCAUGUGACGGCAGCGUAGUCCACAAGGACCAAAACGCAGAGACUAGUUUAAGAAAACGCAUGGCCCACAGUGCCAUGCGUUUU
rnacentral:sRNA from 1 species